GCCGAGGCGAGGCCCCCGGUGCGUCCCGGCACCGUGGGCUCCGUGACCUCGCUCCUUCGCCGGCCCCACCGCGGAUCCAGCCGAGCCGAGCCGAGCCGAGCCGGGCUCCUCGUCCCAAAGUGGCUGCGGAGGCGCAGCCGAGGCUCCUCCGCGGCCUCAGCCCUCCAGACGGGACGGAAUCGCCCCUCCGGUGUCCUGGGGCAGCCGGCAGGAGACGCGGGACACCCGGACGCUCGACCUUGGCAACCCGGGAACCUGCUCCCCAACACAAAGCCGCGGCCCCGCAGAGCCCACCGACCAGCCUGGCCCCAAACUGAUCUCUUCUGGGCUGCAGGAUACCCACAGAACCGCGCCUCAUGCAAGAGACAGGCAAUAUGGGACACAAAGGAAGAAGAGGAAAAACCACCAGAAGGAAGCAUUCAGCAAAGUCCAAAUACAGGACAUUCUAUGGGUCAGCUGACCCAACAACUUCUCCAAACUUCAGUGCAUGAAGAAAAGAAGGCAGACCAUUAUAGAUGACAAGAGGCAUAACCAAAUGCCAUGUGGGAUCCUGGACUGGAUCCUGGGACCAAAAAAGGACACUGUUGGAAAAACGGAUGAAAUCGCAAUAAACUGAAGUUUAGUUAAUCGUCACAUUAUCGAUGUUAAUUCCUUACUUUUGAAAUGUGCCAUGGUUGUGUAACAUGUUGACAUUGAAGAAAACUGGACUAAAGUAUAGGGAGGGGAACUCUGCACUGGCUUUGUAACUUUUCUUUGAAUCUGAAUUUGCUCCAAAGUUAAAAGGUUGGU